rnacentral:rRNA from 1 species
AUUGAACGCUGGCGGCAGGCCUAACACAUGCAAGUCGAACGAGUGGCGGACGGGUGAGUAAUGUCUGGGAAACUGCCCGCUGGAGGGGGAUAACUACUGGAAACGGUAGCUGAUACCGCAUACCAUCGGAUGUUCCCAGAUGGGAUUAGCUAGUAGGUGGGGUAAAGGCUCACCUAGGCGACGAUCCCUAGCGGGUCUGAGAGGAUGACCGGCCACACUGGAACUGAGACACGGUCCAGCCCCCUACGGGAGGCAGAAGUGGGGAAUAUUGGACAAUGGGCGCAAGCCUGAUGCAGCCAUGCCGCGUGUAUGAAGAAGGCCUUCGGGUUGUAAAGUACUUUCAGCGGGGAGGCGUUACCCGCAGAAGAAGCACCGGCUAACUCCGUGCCAGCAGCCGCGGUAAUUC